UAUAUAUACCCCUCUACCUCUCCUUACUCCUUCACAAUUUCGUAGUGUUUUCUACCCUACAGAACUCACUCCCUAUAUGUAGACGUGUGUAUAAUAUAUUAAAAAAAUAAAUUAUGUAUUGUUGUUGCACCAAAGUGAAGAUGUGCAAACAGAAGGAUUGGUAUGCACUGCAACCGUGUGUUGUAGGUGCAUCAAGGGAAUUUCAGCAAUUCAAUAAAUCAUCUCAUAACAAAUUUUGGAAAUGUUGACGAAGGUUUGGGAUGGGUGGACUAGGGUGGCGGGAACUACUUCCAAAACGGCCACCCAAAUAUGUCAUCCUACCGAACCUUAACCUCCCGAGUGCACAAGGCGACCGAGGAAUGAGUGUUAUUAUAUUUGACACAACGGUGCGCCAGACUCUUGAAGAAAAGAUAUGCGGGAGGCGAAUGUCAGCGUUUUUUACAGUCUUAGGUCAAAUUGCUUCCUCAUGUACAACCUACUGAUUUGACCGUAUAUGGAUUGAUGGGAAAAUAUUAUUAAAAUGUUUAUUAUUUUAAAAUACAAAAAAGGUCUUCCUCAUUUAUUUAAAAUUGUUUUUUAGGGUUUUGAAGGAUUUGUUGUUUACUUUAAGUGUUGAAAUUAUUAUUUUAUUGUAAAAACGUACUUAGCUGAGUUUUA